rnacentral:rRNA from 1 species
AGAGUUUGAUCCUGGCUCAGAACGAACGCUGGCGGCGUGCCUAACACAUGCAAGUCGAACGGAUUUAUUUGGAAGUAGCAAUACGGAAGGAUAAGUUAGUGGCGGACGGGUGAGUAACACGUAGGUAACCAACCCUCGAGCGGGGGACAACCCAGGGAAACCGGGGCUAAUACCGCAUAAGACCACGGCCUGGAAUGGCUGAGGUAAAAGCAGCAAUGCACUUGAGGAUGGGCCUGCGGCCUAUCAGGUAGUUGGCGGGGUAAAGGCCCACCAAGCCUAAGACGGGUAGCCGGACUGAGAGGUUGAACGGCCACACUGGAACUGAGACACGGUCCAGACUCCUACGGGAGGCAGCAGUGAGGAAUAUUGGGCAAUGGACGCAAGUCUGACCCAGCAACGCCGCGUGAAGGAUGAAUGUCGUAAGAUUGUAAACUUCUGUGAGAAGGGACGAAAAAACAGGCUCAUACCCUGUUCUGACGGUACCUUCAGAGGAAGCCCCGGCUAACUACGUGCCAGCAGCCGCGGUAAUACGUAGGGGGCUAGCGUUGUCCGGAUUUACUGGGUGUAAAGGGCGCGUAGGUGGACUUGUCAGUCAGAGGUGAAACCCUGCAGCUUAACUGCAGAACUGCCUUUGAUACUGCAAGCCUUGAGUCUAGAAGAGAAAAGCGGAAUUCCAGGUGUAGUGGUGAAAUACGUAGAUAUCUGGAAGAACACCAGUUGCGAAGGCGGCUUUUUGGUCUAGAACUGACACUGAGGCGCGAAAGCGUGGGUAGCAAACAGGAUUAGAUACCCUGGUAGUCC